rnacentral:rRNA from 1 species
UACGGGAGGCAGCAGUGGGGAAUAUUGCACAAUGGGCGCAAGCCUGAUGCAGCCAUGCCGCGUGUAUGAAGAAGGCCUUCGGGUUGUAAAGUACUUUCAGUCGUGAGGAAGGUGUUAAGGUUAAUAACCUUAGCAAUUGACGUUAGCGACAGAAGAAGCACCGGCUAACUCCGUGCCAGCAGCCGCGGUAAUACGGAGGGCGCGAGCGUUAAUCGGAAUUACUGGGCGUAAAGGGCACGCAGGCGGUUAAUUAAGUUGGAUGUGAAAUCCCCGGGCUUAACCUGGGAAUGGCAUUCAAGACUGGUUAGCUAGAGUCUUGUAGAGGGGGUAGAAUUCCAUGUGUAGCGGUGAAAUGCGUAGAGAUGUGGAGGAAUACCGGUGGCGAAGGCGGCCCCUGGACAAAGACUGACGCUCAUGUGCGAAAGCGUGGGGAGCAAAC